GACGAACCGUGCGAACGUUGUUCGGAAUCACUGGGCUUAAAGGGCGCGUAGGCGGGUUUGCAAGUCUGCGGUGAAAGCCUCCAGCUCAACUGGAGAAGUGCCGUGGAUACUGCGGAACCUCGGAGGAGGGUAGGGGCAUCUGGAACGUUGGUGGAGCGGUGAAAUGCGUUGAUAUCCAGCGGAACUCCGGUGGCGAAGGCGAGGUGCUGGACCCUUUCUGACGCUGAGGCGCGAAAGCCAGG
rnacentral:rRNA from 1 species